UACGAAGGGUGCAAACGUUGCUCGGAAUUAUUGGGCGUAAAGCGCACGUAGGCGGCAUUGCAAGUCGGAUGUGAAAUCCCUCGGCUUAACCAAGGAAGUGCAUCCGAAACUGCAGUGCUUGAGUACUUAAGAGGAUCGCGGAAUUCCCGGUGUAGAGGUGAAAUUCGUAGAUAUCGGGGAGGAACACCAGUGGCGAAGGGCGGCGAUCUGGGGAAGAUACUGACGCUGAGGUGCGAAAGCGUGGGGAGCAAACAGGGAUAGAA
rnacentral:rRNA from 1 species